rnacentral:rRNA from 1 species
UACGUAGGUGUCAAGCGUUGUCCGGAUUUAUUGGGCGUAAAGCGCCCGCAGGCGGCUUGCCAAGUUCGAUGUGAAAUCUCCCGGCUCAACUGGGAGGGUGCAUCGAAAACUGGCAGGCUUGAGGCAGGGAGAGGGAUGUGGAAUUCCAGGUGUAGUGGUGAAAUGCGUAGAUAUCAGGAGGAACACCGGUGGCGAAGGCGGGUCUCUGGGCCGGUACUGACGCUGAGGAGCGAAAGCGUGGGGAGCGAACAGG